GUCUUUUUAAAAAUCAGCGUGGACGAAUUCGGAGACACGGCGCUCAGCACUUAUGUACACUUAUGUAUGAAAUAAAAUUGUGUAAUGUAUAAUAUAAUUUCAACCAAGUAAUUUUAUUCUGCCCAUUUUUUUUGUUUUCAAAAACAUAAGAGCCUUAAAUGGAACAUCAAAGCCCUGCUCUGUCAAAAAGCAAUAUACAACUACCAGUUCGCCAUCAUUGCGAUUGGAUUGGAUUUGCAGCCAACAUCCACCAAGAUGUCUGAGGUGACAACACAGACCACAAGUUAUUAUGCUAGGAUGGUCAGCAUUGAGGGCUAGGCCUUGAAGCUAUCCAUCUGUAUGCCUUUGUCGUGUGUUACUGUAAUCUGGAGUUUUAGCAUGCACUAUGCGGGUGAUGGUACAGAGAUCAUCUGUCUAGCAAUGUACAAGUGCCAGUUCAGCACCAGAACAGAGACAAGCCUAGAAUGGAUCUCGUAAGCUUUGUGUCUGUAGACUCAUUAACAUUAUACUGGUGUGUUUUGUUGUAUAUAAUAGAUUUUGAACCAUAAUAUUGGCUGUAUUUACAGUGUU